CAAUAGGCAUAUCGUAAGCGGAGGAAGCUUCCGGAGAAACGCGUGCGGCCGUGCAUGUAAAUCUGCACUCUGUUUCUAUAUGUAACUUCUGAGUAAAACCAUAAAUAAAUCAAAACUUUCAACAACGGAUCUCUUGGUUCUGGCAUCGAUGAAGAACGCAGCAAAAUGCGAUAAGUAAUGUGAAUUGCAGAAUUCAGUGAAUCAUCGAAUCUUUGAACGCACAUUGCGCCCGCCAGUAUUCUGGCGGGCAAUGCCUGUUUCGAGCGUUCAUUUCAACCCUCAAGCACAGCUUUGGUUGUUGGGGACUCGCGGUUAAUUUCGCGGUUCCCCAAAAUUGAAUUGGCGGGUCACGUCGAAGCUUCCAUAGCGUAGUAGUAAAACCCUCGUUACUGGUAAUCGUCGCGGCCACGCCGUUAAACCCCCAACUUCUGAAUGUUGACCCUCGGUAUCAGGUAGGAAUACCCCGCUGAACUUAAGCAUAUCAAUAGCCCGGAGGAAAA
rnacentral:rRNA from 1 species